rnacentral:lncRNA from 1 species
GUCACCCCGUGUCCCCCAGGAGAGGCUGGCUUGCUCCUGUAAUGGCUAUUUUCUCAUUUACAGGGAGGUUCUCAGCAUGGGGAGGAGAGAGAAGGGCUGGGGACAGGAUACCUGGAGCAUUGUGCAGCUGGGAAAGACAAGGAAAGGGCAAUCCUGCACAUCCUGGCUCACACACGCUCCCAGGUUUAGAACAUCAGAUGACUCUUAGCAGAUGUGAAAUACUUCUGGAAGCCCAACAGUCAUACCCUUUGGACCACCCUGCUUGUCCAUCGUGUCUGUACCACACUGCACUGCACUGGUCUUGUCAUCCAGGAGAGCCUGACCCUGGACAACGGGAUCAACAAGCUCUGAAGAGCCUCCAGUCCUCAAUUACCUUCCAGCCCUGACAUCCCCAGUCCAGCUGCCUCAGACUGGAGUAAGAUCGCUCUUGGUUUCCCUUCAUGAUUAAAUGCUUAUUUAAUCUCU